rnacentral:misc_RNA from 1 species
AAGUCGUAACAAGGUUUCCGUAGGUGAACCUGCGGAAGGAUCAUUAACACAAGUAAAAAAAACAUUUUACAACACCCUAUUAUGAAUUUAAAUUUUUUAAUUUUAAUUUUUUUAUAAAACUACAUUUAAUUUAUUUGACUAACAUUUUUUUUAAUUAAUUUAUUUAAAAUUUUAUAAAACAACUCUUAACAACGGAUAUCUUGGCUCUC